AAUGAACGCUGGCGGCAGGCUUAACACAUGCAAGUCGAACGCUGUAGCAAUACAGAGUGGCAGACGGGUGAGUAACGCGUGGGAACGUGCCUUUCGGUUCGGAAUAAUUCAGGGAAACUUGAGCUAAUACCGGAUACGCCCUUAGGGGGAAAGAUUUAUUGCCGAAAGAUCGGCCCGCGUCCGAUUAGCUAGUUGGUGAGGUAAUGGCUCACCAAGGCGACGAUCGGUAGCUGGUCUGAGAGGAUGAUCAGCCACACUGGGACUGAGACACGGCCCAGACUCCUACGGGAGGCAGCAGUGGGGAAUAUUGGACAAUGGGCGCAAGCCUGAUCCAGCCAUGCCGCGUGAGUGAUGAAGGCCCUAGGGUUGUAAAGCUCUUUCGCCAGGGACGAUAAUGACGGUACCUGGAUAAGAAGCCCCGGCUAACUUCGUGCCAGCCGCCGCGGUAA
rnacentral:rRNA from 1 species